rnacentral:misc_RNA from 1 species
GAGGACAUAGCGGACUUAGGCAGAUAAGCGCUGCUUACUGCUUUUCUGAGCUUUCCCCUGCUGUCCUCCACUACUUGAAGGAUUUGAAGAAUAUGAGCACGAUUAUAAUUAAUGGGGCUUGUGUUUCAGACACUGUUUUCAUGACUAUGAGUAGAUAUUGCAGGUCUUUGGCUGAAAUUGGGUUGAGCAAAUGCAUAGGGGUGACCAACAUGGGCAUUAUUCAGCUUGUCUCUGGCUGUAUCAAUUUGAAGAUCCUCU